CCUACGGGUGGCAGCAGUGGGGGAUAUUGCACAAUGGGGGAAACCCUGAUGCAGCGACGCCGCGUGAGUGAUGAAGUUUUUCGGUAUGUAAAGCUCUAUCAGCAGGGAAGAAAAUGACAGUAUCUGACCAAUAAGCCCCGGCUAACUCCGUGCCAGCAGCCGCGGGAAUACGUAGGGGGCAAGCGUUACCCGGAAUUACUGGGCGUAAGGUGCGCGUAGACGGGUAGGUAAGUCAGGUGUGAAAGCCCGGGGCCUAACCCCGGGACUGCAUUGGAAACUGUGAAACUGGAGUACGGGAGAGGCAGGUGGAAUUCCUGGUGUAGCGGUGAAAUGCGUAGAUAUCAGGAGGAACACCAGCGGCGAAGGCGACCUGCUGGA
rnacentral:rRNA from 1 species